AGCACUGCUUGCCUUAUAAAAGAGAUGACUCUGCCUAUAUGUUACCUCCCUGCUGCUUUUCUCUUUUCAUAACUUGCCAGAUUCUAGGUUAUCCAUUACAACUCCAAUUUGUCAAUAUAAAUGCACUCAGGAAGCUGCAUCAACGUGAAGUCAACAAGAUACCAUAAUUAAGGAUAUAGCUAGGCAAAUCCUAUAGCAGGAUUUUAAUGUGGCAUAAUGGGAAUGUGAACCACCAGGACUCUGACUUAAUUAAGGAAAAGAAAAUAAAAAGUUAUCUAUUGUUUCAUUGUCUCGAAUCUAUGCAGGACAGACCUCCUACAGAGCUACUGGUGACUGGCUCUGGGUCAGUUCUUAAUUCCACUCAACGAAUAUCCCAGAGAUCAGUGCAGCCAGGACCAUCAAAGCCAGGAAACCAGAAGGAAGCAGUUCAAACUGUUGUAUUUGUCCUCAACAUUUUGUGACUGCACUCUUACGCUCUGUCAUUAUAUUUAUUUUUGCAUAAACAUUCCCUUUGGACACCUGGAGUUGACAGCAACGGGAUCUUUUCAAAGUACAUAAUCCAAAGAUGUCAUGCUUGCUUCAAACUGCUUGUAGAUGAAACAACAGCUGGAUGAGAAGAACAAUGAACAGGGACCUCCUGAGUCCUGUCCUGAGCGCACUGAGGGUUCUGCAGCCUCCAGGAUGUCAGGAAGGGACAGAGCCCUCGCCACACUGUCCUCCUCACCAGAAUGAAACAGCUUUUCCAUUUCUCUGACACCCCGUGAAGAUCUGCCCUGAGGAUGGUUUCAGUGUGCACCAAGGAUGAGCAGUGAGGACCUGUGGAUAUCUUCUUCUAACCAGCAGAUACCAUUGCAACAAAAUCUGUUCAUUCUUUAUCCCACUAUCUUCAUUGUGGAAGCUGAAAUACAACAUGUCAGCUGGAGAAGGGCAGUCUGAGGUAAGCUUGGGGCACACACUUCAAGGCUGGAUCCCACAAAGAUCUGAAUUGUAGUGAAAAUCAGAAAUGUAUAGGUCUUGGUUCUGUGUUCAGCACUGAAGAACUUCUA